CUUCUCUAAUUCCAUCCAUUUACCUGCAAAUGCUAUGAUUUUAUUCUCUUUUAUUGCUGAGUAAUAUUCCAUUGUGUAUAUAUGCCACAUUUUUUUUAUCCAUUCAUCCACUGAAGGGCAUCUAGGUUGGUUCCACAGUUUAGCUAUUGUGAAUUGUGCUGCUAUAAACAUUGAUGUGGCUGUGUCCCUGUAGUAUGCUGAUUUUAAGUCCUUUGGGUAUAG
rnacentral:lncRNA from 1 species